AUACGUAGGUGGCAAGCGUUGUCCGGAAUUACUGGGUGUAAAGGGAGCGUAGGCGGGAAUAUAAGUUGAAUGUUUAAUCUAUGGGCUCAACCCAUAUCAGCGUUCAAAACUAUAUUUCUUGAGUGAAGUAGAGGCAGGCGGAAUUCCUAGUGUAGCGGUAAAAUGCGUAGAUAUUAGGAGGAACACCAGUGGCGAAGGCGGCCUGCUGGGCUUUUACUGACGCUGAGGCUCGAAAGCGUGGGGAGC
rnacentral:rRNA from 1 species